rnacentral:tRNA from 1 species
GCCUGCUGGCUCAGUCGGCAAAGCAUAUGACUCUUGAUCAUGGGGUCAUGAGUUUGAGUCCCAUGUUGGGCA